CUGUUUUCACGAAGUGACGGAUACGAGGAAAAUUGCAUUUUUUUCAAUUUUGAGUUUUUUGCAUUUUUGGACAUCUAUGACUUAUAUCUUGAACCUCAAAAAGUUUCAGAUCACAAAAAUGUCUAAUUACGUUGCUAUGACGACAUGACAUUCAAGAAAAUACCGGGUAAAAGGAUUUCUUGUUUUUACGAAGUGACGGAUAAGCAGCCGUCAAUACGUGAAAACAAACGAAUACGCUUUGCACUCAGAAGUUUUUUCACGAAGUGACGGAAGGCAAAUAUUUACAGUUUGGAACAGCCGAAGACCAUGAAAUGAUGCAGUAUAUACAAUAAGCGAUGUUUCAGAGAACAAACGAGAGAAGUCCUGGAACUGGUACACUUGCUAUUUAACAAUGCUGAUGGUCAGAUACAAUUCCAGGUUGGAUCCAGGGGCCGACACGCUUGUCAGAUGGGUCAUUGAUAAUUCCCUGAACACCGCAGAUGUGAUCUGAUUUGGUGACAUGACAGUUGAAUCGGUAGUGACUGGAUUUUAAUAGUGUGCCCUGGUUUUGAACUGUUCAAGUAACCCAACUAGAAACAUCUUCUGAAAACUCUGGACUGCAAUUCUGAUGAUGAAACUCUGUCUUCACUUGGGAAAAAUGUGAAGGAGUUGGCUCUGCCCCAUGGCCUUUCCGGUAUCAGGGCUCUCAUAUAACUUUUUCUUUAUUUUCUAGCUGGGUAACUGAUACCAAUAUUUAUUUUCUUGUGAUUUUGACUACAAAAUGACCAGUCUGCCUGUCACAAUGCUGUUCGUUCAUUGGUUCUGUCUCGUAUCGAUUAUUGCAAUGGGCUCCUUUCUACAAUUCCCUCUAAUCAAUUAGUCCGUGUUCAACGACUACAAAAUUGGGCAGCACGAUUAAUUUUACAGGUUUCCCGUGAUCAUCCUUCCCAACCACUCUUUAAUUCUCUUCACUGGCUUCCUUUUAAACAGAGAAUUACAUUCAAAUUACUCUUGAUUGUCUACAAAACAUUGAAUAAACAGGCUCCACAGUAUUUAGGUAACUGCUUGAGUCUUUAUACACCAACUAGAGCUCUUAGAUCGGCCAGUGAUCACCUUCGCCUCACAUAUUCAUUAACUCGUACAUUAGCUGGUGACAGAACUUUUACGGUGUCGGCUUCAAAAUCCUGGAAUGACCUG
rnacentral:lncRNA from 1 species